AUUAUUUUCUAAAUGAUAUUUAUUUUUAAUUCUUUUUAGAUGAGAAUAUUUUGGCUGAGGUGGAUAGUCUCAAAAGCCUUGAAUUUAGUCCCUUUUAUAUAGUAGGAUUAUUUUUGGUUUACAUGACUAAUAAUUAAUCGACCUAACAAUAAAUUUUACUCAUAUAUAUUUACUUAAUAUAUAAUUACAAGUUAUUUUCUUUCCUGAUGAGAAUCUUUAAAUUCAUCCACCUCCAAAAAUUACCAAAAAUAGUGCGAUGACACCCAAGAAAAAAAAGAAUCAAAACUACCUAUCAAGAUAGCUUGAUUUAUUUAGUCUUCCAGUACAAUAACAUGUACAGAAUUUAACUAAUAUGUAUAUUUUUAAAUAAUAAAAAUUAUAUUAAAUAUUUACUCUAACUAUUUACAUUAUUUUCAAAUUAUCAUCCCGUCCGUAGGGCGGGCCGGCCCUAAUAUAUAUAUAAACAGAUGUUUGCUUCACUCAUGUGCGUUCACAUAUGAUACCAGCUAGAUAAGUCAGUUCAUAUCAUUGUGACACCUAUCCACCAUUCAAUCCACGUUAUUUUAAUUUAACAUUGGUUGCUUUGUGUUUUGUUAAUGGGCUUUUCCGAAAAUUAGAUUAAAAAUACUGAUACAGAUAGUUACCGAGUUUUUGGGCCGAAAUCCAGAUAAAGAAGAAGUCCAUAUCGAUGUUAUCUUCUUCCUGCUUGAUAAUUUUAGGCUUCAUCUGCUAUACCUCUGCGUCUAUCUACCAACAAUGGCUGUUCUGAGAUAGUCGAUGGGUCAGUAACCUUCCCAUGGGAGUCUGCUCAUGAAGUUUUAGACUCAAUGCUUCACCUACCUCCAAAACGUUACAAGUCAUAUUAAUUCGAGAUAAUUAACCCAGACUUAACUCUUACGCUCCACUAUGACUACGAUCUCAAAUUCAAUGAAUCUGUCCAUCUUAGUCGGUGAUUCUCACCUAUAAAAAGAUUAAUAUUCAUCCAUUUAUCACCAUCACCAAAUUUCCUAAAAUUGAGAGAAAUCUUACUUUCCGUAUUUGAGAGCAGCGACCGGCGGUUUGAAAUGAAAGAUGCAGCCAUAGACUCUGGGUAUCUAUGGCCUCGCAACAAGUCGUCCAUGCAUGCCCUGCAAUGAUUCAACCGUCUUUAUGGCUGGGUUUUCGUCUGCGUUGCCACGUUCGUCGUUCUUAUCUCAAUUCAGCGGAUGAGUUUCGAACCAGAGGUUAGAUCAUCAGUGAAGAGACUGAAACGAUUUCCAACGACUGCGGGGAAACUGUCAAUAUAGAGGAUUUGAAGGUGGAUUUCAGGCAACUUUGUUUCUUGAGGCAGAAAUCGCCAUUGCAGUUGGAGCAAAGAUUCAUGGUAGUGGAGCUGCCGAGGAAACCGCAGUUGUUAGAACAGAGACGGUGUGGCCUUCAGGCGUCUGAGAUCGAUGCUCUUCCGCCAUAUAUUUUGAGAGAAAGUUCGAGGCGUUAAAAAAAAUUAGAUAAAUAAAAUUGAUUUGAAGAGAUGAAGAAUCUGCAGAAUCUAACAGAAAUAACAUGCACGAACCGGGAACUGGUCACCGAGAGAAACACAACAAAAGGAAAACAGAAUAUCUAACCUAUACUAAAAGGGGAAUAUGGUGAAUGGGGAGGAUAUCCACGUCCUCACAAAAAAUCAACCAAUCAAAAUUCUCUUUUUUAACAUGUCAUUUCUUCUUAAGUCGACAAUGAAAAAUGAUGAGCUUCUUAUGAACUUGCUCAUUCUAUUUCUUUACAGCCCAGAUCAAGUCCACUUCUGCAACUUCCAUCGUCUCUGUCGCAUCCCAUCUACUUCGUCUUCUCCGUUACAGCUAUCCAUCCUAUCAAUCAUUUGUGUUCUUUACUCCUCUCUUUAUGGAUUCUUUUCACCUCCCUUUCUUUCUCCUCAUGAAUAAAUGGCUAAACAGUUUCGUAAUUUCGUCUAAACUUACUUCCAAGCAAUCCCGAAAGCCUACUUUGAAGAGCCUGAAGCUAUGGCGAUGAACAGGUACGCCCCUUCUUUCUAAUCGGGCUUUUUCCUUUUCGCUUCGUCGACAUCCUCUACCUGAAAUAACACAUGGACAGGGCAGUGUCGUACAAGGUUUCGUUAUCAAUGAAAACAACCCCUUAUCAGCAUCGCUCACAACUCUGUGCCGUCCUAGAUUGAAUGGAACUGCUUUUCCAUUGAUUCGAAGCGAUUCAGGUUUAAGCCCUCAAGGGAAACUGUGACGUGAAGGCGAUCUGUACGAUGUAGCCGGCCAUCUCAGGCUAAUUGAUGGCCAACAUUUCCCUAUACUUCAGACCUUUAAGCUUAAAGAAGUACCUUUUAUAAAUUAUCAAGUGCAUCCUAUGGUUAGCAGAGAACCAAAGCAAUGGUGCAUUAAUCAGUUCAACAGAGGUGACCAAGGUGGAGACUUUUACUGGCGAUAUCUUGGCUUGACUGUGUGAAGGAAAUGUCUCAGGUAUCUAGAGGAACUGUCCGUUCACCGACAAUGGCGACAAGGCUAAUCUUUGAUGUUGUGUUUCAUGUACUCUUCAGUCUCUUUGUUAUGUAGCUAAGUGCAUGUCUUCUUCUCUUUAUAUGUUUUUUCUUUCAGGAAGUUAAUAGAGAAAUCAGAUGAAUGGUCCCUAAAGGUAUUGUUUUUGUUGUUGUUGUUAUUGCAGUUGCAGUUGCUUUGUCGAUGACAAAGAAGAAAAGAAAGGGAGCAGAAGGAGAGUAUUGUUAAUGAUAUCAGAGAGUGUUGAAAAAUAUAACUUUGUCCAUCUUUCUCUUUAGAAGACAUGAAAAAUAUCAAAUUUGAGGAGUUUAGACACAACGGAAGGGUUUUUCCUUGGCUAGAACAAAUUGAUGCAGUUUGCUCUUGGUCCUUCUGCUUGAGAUGAAAUCCAUCAUGCCAUCUUUAAACUUUCCAAGCUUCUUCAUGGUGAUGAUGAACUGCUUAUUACAGAUAUGCCAAAGGAAGAGGUUGAAAGCUUAUUUGACUCUUAUGAAGAUUCUGACUUUACAAGGACUGAAAGUACUGCAGUAGUAACGGUUUCUGACUAAAUAUAUUGCCAGCUUGAUAAACAAACAAGCUUGACUGUGUUAAUCUUCAUUACUGAUCAACACUGUUUUGUUACAAAUACAAUUGAUUGACCAAGUUGAACUGAAGGGAGGUCUUCUAGAAAAGUUCACAUAUGAGCUGGAACUGUUUCUAAGGAAGAAAGGUUCAACCUGAUGUUGAUCAUGUUACAGUCAGUUGGAUCCCAGCCAAUAAUCUGUUUGCAAUAAUGGUUAGCAUUAUUGAUCAAGACCUUGCUCAGAAAAAUGUGUACCAAAAUCAAGGUGUUUCCUUUCCGGAUUCGUACUGAACUGAACAUGAAUCUAUGCAGAGAAAGCUUGAAGCCUAACAAAAUGAGGAUAAGUUGAACAAUCUGGGGAAUUAACAGUCAAAAUGCCAGAGAUUUUGAGAGACCGUAAGGCUUAUGCACUCAAGAAGGCACGCAAGGCUUAGCUGCUCAAGUUAGGCAAAAUCACAGACCCUCCUGCUCUCUAUCAAGCUUGGUUUUUCUCUUUUUUUUUAAAAAAAGCAACCGCUGGUUCAGUUUUCCAUGUUCACCUUAUUUGAUCAGCAAAAUAAAAUUUCAACUUAUAUCACCCUGUAUUUGUAGAAAGAUGUUUUAAAAUUAUGGUUAUGACCCGAUUAAAAAUAAAAACUGGUUAAACAAAUAAGAUACACUGCAAUCUUAUAAAUUCAUCUACGCCUACUCCGAUUACUAAAAUUCUCGGUACAUAACCUACCUUGGUGAACGUGUUGGCUAUUAUUCCAUGCAGCUGUUGACUUAGACAUUGUCGGCUAGCUUGGAAGCACCCACUGAUAUAAGGAGAAGCUGAUUAAAGAAUAAAACUGAUUAAGUGAUAUGAUUUCUUUAGACCAUCUCCCAUUGACACCAAAUUCUCCAACAAAACAUUAAAGUUCACACCAUUCCACCAAAUUUGAUGUAACACUAUUCAUCACACCAAAUCACACCAAAUCUUUUAAAUGCAUAUUUUAUUAUGUUUUAUUUUAUAAUAUAGUUUAAUUAUUAUCAAAUUUGUAGCUAACCAUAAAUAUCUUAUUUUAUUUUUAAUUAUUUUAACACAUUUUUUAAUUUUUAUUUUUAGUUGAUUUUUCUCAAAAUUCAAAAACUAAAAUUUUAAUUUUUAAAAAUAAAUCACUAAAUAACUAUUAUCAUUUAUCACUUACCAAUAAUAAAAAUACAAAAAAUAAAAAAUGUGAUAAAACAAUUAUUUACCAAUUAUAAAUAUUAACAAUAUAAAAAAUUUAAAACUGAAAAUAUUAAAUAAUAUAUUAUAUUAGUUUUGGUGUAAAUUUGGUGUCAUUGUUGGAGAUGACAAACAAAUUAAGACACCAAAAUACCAAAUUUGGUGUAAUUUCAACACCAAAUUUGGUGUCAUUGUUGGAGAUGCCUAUAGAAAUAGUAUUUGAUGAAAGCCGAUGUCCUUUCUUCUGUAUCGUACUAAUAAAUAAGAUUAAAUGCUGACAUUUCAGGUUUUUUGUCAUUAACCAGUAAAUGUUAGAGUUCAAUAUGGUAUAGCAAGUGUAGAGAAAUUUUAAAACAUUAUGGUCAAAAUAUAGAUGACAACAUACUCAAAGGAAAUAAAUUAUGGAAUAUAUAUGUGUUGUAUGUUCUCCACUAUUCUUACCUUUUAUUAACUUAAAUGGAUUUAGAAAUUUCAUAUGAUUAUAAAUGUCAGGAACUUGCUUGACGAAAUUAUGUUUACUAAUAAAUAUCUUACUAUCAUCAUUUGAAUUGGUUUUGAUCUGCAUCAAUGAAAAUAUAUUUUUGUUAAAACUCUUUUCUGAAGAAAACAGUUUUUUUUUCUUUUUUUUGUAACACGAAGAAAACAGCUCUAACUACAAAACUAAUGUAUAAACAGAAAUUAAUCCCAGCAUUUGUAAAUAUCUAUCAAAUAUGUAAAUCUAUAUAAACACUGAGAUAGAUUAGAGCUUCCGGCCAGUAUUCCACUGUGAAGCAAAUGAUUUUAUCUUAUCAAAUGACAACUGCAACAUACUCAUACAGGAAGUAGUUUCCAAAAACAAAGAUCAACACAAACCGAAGACAAAACCUUUUUUUGGUAAAAAAAAAAAACUUAGACAAAACCUUUUAAAACUAAAUUUGACAUUAAUUUUUAAUUUUCUUUACUUCUAAGAUCAAAUCUGCUAAGACAUUUAGCCAUCAUUUUCUCUCAUUAGUAUUUAAUUUUCAAUUCAAAAAAUUUCUAAUAUUAUUUUAAGCCAGCAGAUGAUAAUAUAGUGAAAAUACACAAUCUCUACAAAAUAAUUUGAUAUUUUUUCCCUAACAAUUACAUAAUAUAGUUUGCCAAUGAUUUGAAAAGAGAAGGUGCAAAACUGUUGUGGAUUUCCUAAGAUUUAAAGUCUUUUAAACAUUAUUUGUUAAAUCAAGUAGAAGAACUCAAACAAUUUAUAACCCUAAGAGCAUACCAAAAUGUUACAAUUCUAUCAUGCUUUUAUGAGAUGAGAAAGUAAAUUAUCUUAUUUUCUAAUGACAUUCAGUUUUUGGUCAUUUUCCUUUUUGUGAUAAAAAUUUGAAAAUGGUCUAUUUAGGAGAAUUACCCUAAUUUUAAAGGGAUCAAAUAUUUGCAUAGAAUUUUCUAAAAAAAUUAUUAUCUUAUUCUUUUAUUGAUUUUUAUCAAAAUUUAAACUGGCAUAAGUUUGGGAUCGGCAAAAUAUAAUAAUUUAUAGAGAUUAUUAAUUUAUCGAGUAUUAAUUUAUAGAUAUUUUACUGUAUUUUUAAUUUUCAACACAUUAAUUUAAUUUCCAUUACUACAGAAAGCCACUAUACACAACCAAAAACAUAAACUCCCCUCCACUUUUACAUCUCAAUCGAUUCACUUCCCAUUUCAUCUGCAUAAAAAAAUGAGCAAUAAAUUUUAAAAUACUUAAUUUCAUAUAUUCCUUCUUAUAAUUACUCUAAAUCUAUUGCAACAACAACCAUAAACAGCCACAACUAUGGUCAUAUACAAAUUUUAACUUCACACAAUAUCCGCGUGUAGCGCGGACACGGACUUAGUCUGUAAUAAAAGAGAAAAAAAAUUUCCUCCGUUUUCUCAGCAAAGAAACAGAUAUGAAAAUAAAAGAUGGAAAGUUUAUUAAAUGUCUUUAUUAAAAAGCGAGAAGACAGAGAACAGAUGAGAGAAAUCGGGAGCGGAGGAAAGAUGUUUUAACCGUUGCUUGAGAUAAGAAAAAUAUGAGGCCUUACAAAUGGGUCUAUAUAUACAAUUUACCGUUAUUAUUAUAUCAACCUAUAAAAAUAAUUGUGUGAAAUCUAUACAAUUUAUUUUGUUCAUAGUUAAUUGUAAAUAGUUUCUAUAAGAGAAUCAAAUAGUGUUAUGUAAAAAUACUUAUAUUUUUCUGUAAACCUAUAUUAUUAGUAAAAUUUAAAGAAUAUUAAAGCUUAAAUAUUCUGAUUAUGAGAUUGUAUAAUUAUCUAGCUGAAUAAUUAAUUAAGUUUAGUACUUUCUGAAGCAAUUAGAAAUAAAACAAGUUAAAUAUAUUAUACAAAAAUAGAAAUAAACAAAAAAUCAAUAUAUAAAUUUUUUUUUUUAAAAAACAAAAGAAACAAGCAUAAGAAAUGUUAAUUUAUAUUGUAACUACAAAAUUACAUAUAGCAAAGUGAUCAAUUAAGCCAACUAAACUUAUCAAAAAUGAAGCCCUAAAUGUAUGUCUAUGAUGUGGGGCCUGAGGCAAUUGCUUCUUUGAAAACAAAGUAAACACGGCUUUGCUCACCGACAAUGGUUUCAAAUUUCGACGAAUCAAGUCCGUAAAGAAUGUAUAAGAAGAACAAACCCAGUGCUUCAUCAAACGAAAAUCCCGGUUGUAGACUCCAAUUAAUAAUGCACACAGUUAACAGAUGUAAACCCAAUUAUUUUGGGAGAAAUCAUAAUUACAUUAGGACUCUAUUGCAUUUUCUCAAAAGGUCACCUAAUAGUUAAUAUGAAUGAUGUCAUUAGUGAAAUCUAAAAGAAAUAUUUAUAUUGACCAAAAAAAUCUUUACAAUACAUAACAUUUUCUACAAUUUAUGAAGUAUUCCAGCGAUCUUACAACUCAUCUAUAAAUAUCGAAAUGAAGCUCAUCGCCAUUGAGACGACAAACAAAACAACAUAGAUCAACAUGGUCCAAAGACAUCCCUUCUCAAAGCUUCAAAGUCUCCUCAAGUAAAUUCAUGUUGACAUAAUUGCACGGGUUGCACUUUUCUCUCAAAACAUGUAUUUGUACCUAAUGUAAGCAGAGAGGGUUUAUGAAAAAACAAAAGACAAAAAGUGACUAUAAUCUAUUAGGUAGUACUUAAUUAACAUACUUAAGAACACUUGAGUAACCAUAAAAAUAAAACGUAUGAUAAUGAUUUGCUCUUCAACGUUGAGGACAAUAAACAUAAAAACAAGAAUCAUUUGCAAUAGAUGGAUGAUAUAAAUGAUCAUGCAAGCAUAUUUCGUAGAUUAUAUGAGAAAAAAAUGCAAUUACAUACGUAUUAGCAUGUGACACAACUAUACUGUAGAUUUUUAACCACAAUGCAAAACUUUUUUUUUACUUUGUUAAUAAUUAUUUUGAUCACCAACCCAUUCUGAGAAAAUAACAGUAUUAUACAAAUACGAUUAUGACAUUAUUCAAACUAAUUAUAUAUAUAUAUAUAGUGAAAAUACAUCAACUUAGAUGGAGAAGAACAAAAGAAAUCAAAAGAUAAAUGCCUAAUACCCUUAAAAGUUAUAAAUUUAAUGGUUCUCAAGCCAAAAAAAAAACUUUAACAAAUUUUUUUUAACAAGAUUGUUCAUUUAAAAUUUAUUUUACCUAUUAAAUAAGUGCGGCAAUAAAUAUAUUCAGACUUUAAUUAAGCUUAAAUCGUUUUAGUAUGUUUGUACACCACGUGAAAUAUAGUUUACAAUAAUAAUAUAACAAAUUUUGAGUAGUAAAAAUUUCAAAUCUUCUAGACCAAAAAUUAGCAAAAUAAAAAGCACAUUUAAUUUUUUAAAAUAAUUUAUAUUUUAAUAAUAAAUAUAAAUAUAUACAUUAUAUUGAAAUAAAGUAAAAUAAUAGAAUUAAAAAUAAAUAUAAUAGAAAAAUUCCGGGCGUAGCCCGGGCCGAUCCUAGUAUCUUAUAUAUAUAUAUCUUACAAUAUUAAAAGGGCAAUAUGUUCAAUGGAAAAGCAUGCCAAAUAAAAUUUUUAAAUUAACCAAUAAAAAAUACUCUUUCAUGCUAGGCCAGUUCUUCUUAAACUUAAAAUUGCAACUUGAAAAUGAAAUAAAAAUAGGAUUCUACGGUUGGGCUCAGUUGCUAAGCCCACUAAGAAGAUUUUAUUGGCUCAUAUACGGUCCAUGUCACAGUUUAUUCAGAAACCCGUAACAUCUGAUAAUCUUCGACCUAAUCUUUCCAUCUUCUUCGUCUUCUCUGUUUUCCCUACUUGUGAUCUCCUUUACUGAUCCUUCUCCAAUUUUGAAUGUUAAGCUUAUAUAUAUUUCUUUCCCCAGUUUUCUGAAUUUGAUUUUGUUAUAUAUGCAGAUGAACUCUUGAUUUUGGUUGUCCUAUACCAUUUGGAAACGAAGCUCUCAAGCUUCUCAACAAUGGCUGUCAUGUACAGAAACUGAAAUAUCUCUCUAGGUGUGAAGCUUUAUCGAUGUAUCCAAGAACUUAUGAUCUUUUUCACGUUGAUGGUCUGUUUACAAGCCAAAGGUGUGAGAUGACAUAUGUAAUGCUGGAAAUGGAUAGGAUCUUGCGUCCUAAUGGCUAUUAGAUUAUAUGUGAAUCAAGCUGUUUAAAGAUACUAUUACAUCGGUUGCAAAAUGAUUGAGAUGGAGUUCCAUAAGGAAAAGACAGAGUCUAACUCAGAGAAUGAGAAGCUCUUGAUUUGCUAGAAAAAGUUGUGAUAUUCAUCUAGCGGAACUUCAGAAGUAGUAAAAACGUAGUUUGUGAUUACGAUAACCUUUUGUUAUGAAACCUCUUUACUUUUUAUGUAUUACUACGAUACCAUGCGAAGGCUGAAGCUAUCAUUUUGGCUUUUAUAGAUUUUAAUAUUUGAUUAUAGUAAA